UUAGACACUUUCAAACAAACUGUUUAAAAAUGUAAAAAUCAUUCUCGGCCUGGGGCUGUACUGAAAAAGGCAAUGGGCUAGAUCUGGCCUGAGCUGUGGUUUGCCAAUGCCUGGUUGAUGGCCUGGGUGUCCUAGUUGAAUGCUUCACCAGCAAGGAUUCUGGGGAGGGGUGACUGGAGACAGAUACCACCCCUCAAGAAGGGAGUGGUCAGUAGCAUUCAGGAGAGAGUGGUUGUUUGAGAAAAAUGUGUGAUGCUGAGUGAGAUGUUAUUUUACAGGUGUGGCUGGUUCCCCAGAAGCUAUUUCCUUGUGAGAGUGAGCUUAUCAAGUGAGGUUAUUCUCAUCCUCUCUUCCGCUCCUCUUCCUAUUCCUUAUCUUCUCUUCCAUAACAUUUCUGAUUCCACUUUUCCACGGUGUCAUUUUUCUAUCUUGUCAAGUUUCCUAUGGCAUCUCAGGCUUUUAGAAUUUUGUAAAUAAAUUUUGUUUUUCCUUACAAAAACAUUCCUGGUAUUGGAAUAUGAUCACCAUCCUUAUCUGAUGAAAUUAAGCUUUCUAUGUGUAAUAUGGACAUAAGAAAUGAACCAUCUGCACGAAAUAUUUGGGAAAGCAUGUACCUUAGGGAGGAAAAGAGACAAAUGCGUGUCCAGAAAAAGUACAACUAACCAGCUCUGAGACUUGGAAGAACCACUUUCUUCCAGGAAGAGAAGCAGGGCAGAGAGACGGAGUUCAGUGUGGGACGUGUGAAGCCUGCAUGGCCUGGAUGAAGUUUGAUAACCAACCAGGAGGACAUAUUUAUUAGGUUGUCAGAUGAUCAGAUCCAGAAUCUGGGACAGAGAUACAGAUUUGGGAAUCAUCAGCCACUUUUGCAAUGGGGUGAGCCUCUGUGUCAGGCAGGAGAGGGGCUGUGUGAUUUCUGAGCUAGGUCAUAAGGUGAUAUGGCUUCUGACUGACUUUCUGUCAGGGAGUGGUCACCCUGGAAGUGUAGCUACCAUGUGGAAACGCAGACCACAUGGAGAAACCAUGCACAGGUGUUGUGGCUGACGUUACCCAGCUACAAGCUCAGCUGCAGCCAGCAUCGGCUGCCAGGAAUGUAACAGAAGUAGGCUCCAGAUGAUCCCAGCCCCCAGUGUCUAAAUCUUCCAGCUGAGAACCCAGCCAUCAAGGAGCAGAAGUUGUCUACAACUCUCAAGAAGGGACUGAGUCUCCUGCAGUGUGCCAGUGAGGCAGAAGCCACCAGACGAUACUAAUGGCAGGAAGCCAGGGAAGAGAACAAGGAAAGGACCCUCCCUCACAAAUGGUGUGAGACAUAGAAGGAGGGAACUUGGGAAAUGACAUGCUCCUCCUUCUCGGAAUCCUGGGCCACAUGGGUGCAUGGGUGAGUGUCACCUCUGAGGUGGACUCAGGUCUUGCACCCACCCCCAUGACCCCUUUCCCCUGGGGCUACAACAGAAGCUAUCUCUUCCAUUCCUGUCCCCUUUGUUCCUGUCCUGGAGUCAGGUCAUAUGGAGAAGGAAAUGGCAAUCCACUCCGGCACUCUUGCCUGGAAAAUCCCAUCUAUGCAGAAGCCUGAUAGACUACAAGUCUGUGGGGUUGCAAAGAGUCGGACGCGACUGAGCAACUUCACUUCACUUUCACUUUCAGGUCAUAUUGGAGUUGUGAAUAAAAACAUCAAGCUUGUCUCAGAGAUUUGCUACACCGAUGGGUUGGAACUUUGGGAAAGUCACUUAUAUCUCUAGCUUUCAGCAUCAUCAUCUGAAAAACAAGUUAAUUCUUGAGUUUAUUAACUGAGUUAAUUCUCGAGGGCAGAAGUGCAUCUUCCAAAGCCUGUAGUCAUGGCUAUGGGCAUGUGAAUCUGACUGGAAUAAAAUAGAUUUGAAAAAAAAAAAGACAAAUAGUAUUACUAGUUCUAGACCUAAAUAACUCUUUGGUUCUCAGCUUUCCUUGCACAGGAAAUGGUUAGAAAAUUAAGUGCUGUUUACCUGUACCCGUUGGUGCAUGCCUUCGAAAUAUUUAUGCCUGGUCCAUGUCAAAGCAAUACAGAAAUGGGAUAGUUUUUAGAAACUUUUGAACCUACUUGACGUUGUUGUGACAUACAACUGUAUGAUCAGUGGGUUGUUUCCUUGAAUAGGGUAUGAACCAGUCUGGGUGCUAUUGAACUUAUGGGUGGUGAGUGGCAUAUGACAUGAGUUAUGUGUCAGUCGCUUGAAGUAGAAACUUGUCUUGGUCUAUAAUUGUUUAGAAAAAAAAGGAAAAAAAAAAGUGGGUUUAAUACCCAGUUAGAUUGAGGCAGAGCUUCCUUACUGUCAUGUCAUUCUUGAAUUACAGCUGUGCCUAGGUGUUGUGCCCUUGACUGUUGGGGCAGCUGGGAGAGGCCUGGGCCAGUUUGGGACCAGUCAGUCAAGUUGCUUCUGGCCAUGAGUAAUUAAUGUGCUCUACAAAUAUUACCAUUUCUAUGUGUGCCAUGAAGUGAAUAAGGGAGAAGUGAAUAAGCUGGAAAUGUUACCUUUUCUCCAAAAGAGCAAAUAGACAAAGAGAGGAGACUGGGAUUAUUGUUUCUUCAACCACAGCCUCCAAGUGAACUGGCCUAAGCUAGAGAUCCAAACUGAAACUGUGCUCCCAGGCAAAAAUGCACAACUUUUCUUCUAUUAAUUAAUAUCCAUUAAUACCUAUUUAUCAAUACCUUUUAAUAUCUAUUAAUUAAUUAAUACCCAUUAAUAUCUAUUAAUACCUCCUAUCUAUUAAUACCUUUCUCUUAUAUUUAAAUUGAAGACUUCCCUGGUUGCCCAGUGGUUAAGAGUCUGCCUGUCAAUGCAGGGGGCACGUGUUUGAUCCCUUGUCCGGGAUGAUUCCAUAUGCGGCAGAGCGACUAAACUCCUGCACCACAACUACUGAAGCCUGGGCGCCCUAGAGCCUGUGCUCCACAACGAGAGAAACCACCACAAUGAGAAGCCUGUGUGCUGCAACUAGAGAAAGCCUGUAUGCAGCAACGAAGACCCAGUGCAGCCAAAAAUAAAUAAAUACAUAAAUAAUAAAUUUAGAAGGAGUUCCUUGGUGACCUAGUGGUUAGGCCUUCACUGCUGUGGUUCAGGUUCAAUCUCUGGUUGGGAAACUGAUAUCCUGCACGCCAUGCGGCACAGCCAAAAAAAAAAAAAAUAGUAAAUUUAGAUUUAUCAUAGAAAUAUAUGCACGUCUCUUAAAAGCAAGCCGUACAAAAGUAGAAAACAUGAGUCACCUGUACCUCCCUCCCCAAGUCCUGUUCAGGUUCCCCGGAGGUAAUUGCUUUCAAACUGGAGCUUCAGUAUUUAUGGAAAGAGGAUCCCACAGAGAAAUGCCCCGAUUUCCCCACGGAACUCCAGUGGGCACGGUGCCGGAGGCACUAGCACCGUCAUGCUCCACUGGGAAGGUUCCAAGUCUGAGCACAUAGCAGUCGGACCAGGGGCCUCCCCAAGGCCACCUCACCCAUCCAUCACAGUCAGGCAGCUCCUCCUUGCCCUGGUUCUUCUCAAACCACCCUCUCUUCCACUCCUUCUCUGCAGAAGUCCAGAGGUUUAAUCUCUGACA